rnacentral:rRNA from 1 species
CACGUAGGCGGAUCGGAAAGUUGGGGGUGAAAUCCCGGGGCUCAACCCCGGAACUGCCUUCAAAACUAUCGGUCUGGAGUUCGAGAGAGGUGAGUGGAAUUCCGAGUGUAGAGGUGAAAUUCGUAGAUAUUCGGAGGAACACCAGUGGCGAAGGCGGCUCACUGGCUCGAUACUAACGCUGAGGUGCGAAAGCGUGGGGAGCAAACA